AAUAUACUAUAGACAGAGCAUGCACAACAAACUUCACAAUGCCGCAACCAAUUAUUUCAACUAAAAUUUCCCAUUUACUAUAGACACAACAUGCACAAUACGACAUAAUCACACACACAAAUACAUAUAAUAAAUUAUACUAUUACAUUGUCUCAUAUAGAAUAGGCAUAUAUAAUUGAAUAAGAAGAAUAUUAUAGUAUGCAUGUCUACUAUAAGCCAAUAUGAAUAAAAAAAUACAACCAUAGCUAUACAAGUGACAGCUAACAUUUUCUAUUUAUUAUAGGCAGAGCAUUCACACUAUCCAACACAAUCAUAGAAGCACAUACGUAUAUAAGUCACAUUAUUUUAAAUUCUUCUAGGUAACAAUACUAUGAACGUCUCUCAUAUAGUAUAGUCAUAUCAUCACACAACAUCAUUGUCUCCCCAACCCCU
rnacentral:lncRNA from 1 species